rnacentral:tRNA from 1 species
AGCGAGGUGGGGCAGUCAGGAGUGCCCGACGGGCUCAUAACCCGUAGGUCGGUGGUUCAAAUCCACCCCUCGCUA